rfam:Fusarium oxysporum f. sp. raphani 54005 unplaced genomic scaffold supercont1.4, whole genome shotgun sequence.
ACAUACGACCACAGCUCGUGGAGAAUACGGGGUCCCGUCUGCUCCCCCAGAGUCAAGCCGCGAAGCGCCGGAUUAGUAGUUGGGUCGGUGACGACCAGCGAAUACCUGGUGUUGUAUGUU